CCUACGGGUGGCUGCAGUGGGGAAUAUUGCGCACUGGGCGAAAGCCUGACGCAGCGACGCCGCGUGAGGGAUGAAGGUCUUCGGAUCGUAAACCUCUGUCAGCAGGGAAGAACGGUCACUGUGCUAAUCAGCCGUGAAUUGACGGUACCUGCAAAGGCCGCACCGGCUAACUCCGUGCCAGCAGCCGCGUUAAUACGGAGGGUGCGCGCGUUAAUCGGAAUUACUGGGCGUAAAGCGCUCGUAGGCGGUAUGUCAAGUCAAGGGUGAAAUCCCCGCGCUCAACGUGGGAACUGCCUUUGAAUCUGGCAAACGGGGGUGGGUGUGAGGAGAGUGGAAUUCCAGGGGUAGGAGUGAAAUCCGUAGAUAUCGGGAGGAACAUCAGUGGCGAAGGCGACUAGCUGGCAAAUAACUGACGCUGAGGAGCGAAAGCGUGGGUAGCAAACAGGAUUAGAUACCCUAGUAGUC
rnacentral:rRNA from 1 species